rnacentral:lncRNA from 1 species
GUUGGAGUGGCGGCUUGGGGCGCAGCGGCCCUGAACUUCCUAGAGUUUUUCAGAUUGUUAGAUAUUGAAGGUAGUGUUGAAAAAUCAUUGCAGUGAUCCUAAGGAUGGGAAGUUCGAGUCGUUCCACCUGUGUCUUCCGCACCGCAGGAUUUUGCUGAAUUAAAAGGCACUACUUUAAUUAAAAAGCUCCAGUUGAGGAAGCGUGAACAUUUUGACUGGAGUCAAUCUUAACCCAAUGGACUUUCCCUGUGCUGACCAACCCUUUCAUCACAAGCAAUAUAUGCGGUUACUGAGCCCUGGAAGUGAGAGAUGCUGUAAAUGAACACUGUACACUGACAAGUACCCAACACUUCCCCAAAGAGAGUAAAUACCUCAUUAAUAGUGAUAGUACAUAUAUUCCAGUUAUUUGCUGGCAUAAUUUUUUUAUGUGUUCGGUUAAAUAAGGAAUAUUUCCUCUCACUCACCUGUUUGGUUUUACUGUCUUUGAACUAGGGCAUCAGAAACGAUGGGGCUGCGUGCUUAACUCCCAUUGUUAUGGCCCCAGCUCAGCACUCCACAGACAGAAAGCCUGUGGUGAGGAGCAGUGGGUAUCUGCAA